rnacentral:rRNA from 1 species
UUAGAGUUUGAUCCUGGCUCAGAACGAACGCUGGCGGCAGGCCUAACACAUGCAAGUCGAACGCACCUUCGGGUGAGUGGCAGACGGGUGAGUAACGCGUGGGAACCUGCCCUGUGGUACGGAAUAACUCUGGGAAACCGGAGCUAAUACCGUAUACGCCCUACGGGGGAAAGAUUUAUCGCCAUAGGAUGGGCCCGCGUCAGAUUAGCUUGUUGGUGGGGUAACGGCCUACCAAGGCUACGAUCUGUAGCUGGUCUGAGGGGAUGAUCAGCCACACUGGGACUGAGACACGGCCCAGACUCCUACGGGAGGCAGCAGUGGGGAAUCUUGGACAAUGGGCGAAAGCCUGAUCCAGCCAUGCCGCGUGAGUGAAGAAGGCCCUAGGGUUGUAAAGCUCUUUCAGCGGGGAAGAUAAUGACGGUACCCGCAGAAGAAGCCCCGGCUAACUUCGUGCCAGCAGCCGCGGUAAUAUGAAAGGGGGCUAGCGUUGUUCGGGAAUUACUGGGCGUAAAGCGCGCGGUAGGCGGGACUGGGCCCAGUCAGGGGUG